GGGCUUCGACAGCACGUGUACUGGAAAUGGGGCGAUGCCGAGAAGAUUAGCGCGGCUCCUGCGCAAGGAUGGCACGCAGGUUCCUAAAGCGUUUCCUCUUUCU